rnacentral:rRNA from 1 species
UACGUAGGGGGCAAGCGUUGUCCGGAUUUAUUGGGCGUAAAGCGCGCGCAGGCGGUCUAUUAAGUCUGAAGUGAAAGCCCACGGCUCAACCGUGGAGGGCCAUUGGAAACUGGUAGGCUUGAGUGCAGGAGAGGAGAGCGGAAUUCCCGGUGUAGCGGUGAAAUGCGUAGAUAUCAGGAGGAACACCGGUGGUGUAAACGGCUUUCUGGACCAUAACUGACGCUGAGGCACGAAAGCGUGGGGAGCGAACAGG